AUUGAACGCUGGCGGCAGGCUUAACACAUGCAAGUCGAGCGGAGAGAGGUAGCUUGCUACUGAUCUUAGCGGCGGACGGGUGAGUAAUGCUUAGGAAUCUGCCUAUUAGUGGGGGACAACAUUCCGAAAGGAAUGCUAAUACCGCAUACGUCCUACGGGAGGCAGCAGGGGAUCUUCGGACCUUGCGCUAAUAGAUGAGCCUAAGUCGGAUUAGCUAGUUGGUGGGGUAAAGGCCUACCAAGGCGACGAUCUGUAGCGGGUCUGAGAGGAUGAUCCGCCACACUGGGACUGAGACACGGCCCAGACUCCUACGGGAGGCAGCAGUGGGGAAUAUUGGACAAUGGGCGCAAGCCUGAUCCAGCCAUGCCGCGUGUGUGAAGAAGGCCUUAUGGUUGUAAAGCACUUUAAGCGAGGAGGAGGCUACUUUAGUUAAUACCUAGAGAUAGUGGACGUUACUCGCAGAAUAAGCACCGGCUAACUCUGUGCCAGCCGCCGCCGUAAAAC
rnacentral:rRNA from 1 species